rnacentral:rRNA from 1 species
UACGUAGGGUGCAAGCGUUGUCCGGAAUUAUUGGGCGUAAAGAGCUCGUAGGCGGUCUGUCGCGUCUGCUGUGAAAACUCGGGGCUUAACCCCGGCCUGCAGUGGGUACGGGCAGACUAGAGUGCGGUAGGGGAGACUGGAAUUCCUGGUGUAGCGGUGAAAUGCGCAGAUAUCAGGAGGAACACCGGUGGCGAAGGCGGGUCGUCUGGGCCGUAACUGACGCUGAGGAGCGAAAGCAUGGGGAGCGAACAGG